UGGGGAAUAUUGGACAAUGGGCGCAAGCCUGAUCCAGCCAUGCCGCGUGAGUGAUGAAGGCCCUAGGGUUGUAAAGCUCUUUCACCAGUGAAGAUAAUGACGGUAACCGGAGAAGAAGCCCCGGCUAACUUCGUGCCAGCAGCCGCGGUAAUACGAAGGGGGCUAGCGUUGUUCGGAUUUACUGGGCGUAAAGCGCACGUAGGCGGACUUUUAAGUCAGGGGUGAAAUCCCGGGGCUCAACCCCGGAACUGCCUUUGAUACUGGAAGUCUUGAGUAUGGUAGAGGUGAGUGGAAUUCCGAGUGUAGAGGUGAAAUUCGUAGAUAUUCGGAGGAACACCAGUGGCGAAGGCGGCUCACUGGACCAUUACUGACGCUGAGGUGCGAAAGCGUGGGGAGCAAACAGG
rnacentral:rRNA from 1 species